AGAGUUUGAUCAUGGCUCAGAUUGAACGCUGGAGGCGUGCUUAACACAUGCAAGUCGUGCGAGAAAGGGACUUCGGUCCUGAGUAGAGCGGCGCACGGGUGAGUAACGCGUGGGUGAUCUCCCUUGGUGAUCGGGAUAACAGCGGGAAACUGCUGCUAAUACCGGAUAAUCUUCAUGUUUAACUUCAUGGGGGAAAGGUGGCCUCUGCUUGCAAGCUACCACAUCAAGAUGAGCCCGCGUCUCAUUAGCUAGUUGGUAGGGUAAUGGCCUACCAAGGCUACGAUGAGUAGCUGGUCUGAGAGGAUGACCAGCCACACUGGGACUGGAACACGGCCCAGACUCCUACGGGAGGCAGCAGUGGGGAAUAUUGCGCAAUGGGCGAAAGCCUGACGCAGCGACGCCUCGUGGAGGGAUGAAGGUCUUCGGAUCGUAAACCUCUGUCAAGAGGGAAGAAACCCUUGGAUUCGAAUAGGGUCCUUGGCUGACGGUACCUCANAAGGAAGCACCGGCUAACUCCGUGCCAGCAGCCGCGGUAAUACGGAGGGGUGCAAGCGUUAAUCGGAAUCACUGGGCGUAAACGCUCCUAAGGCGGGUUGGGUCAGUCAGAUGUGAAAGCCCUCGGCCUAACCGGGGGAACUGCAU
rnacentral:rRNA from 1 species